GACGAACGCUGGCGGCGUGCUUAACACAUGCAAGUCGAACGGAAAGGCCCUGCUUGCAGGGUGCUCGAGUGGCGAACGGGUGAGUAACACGUGGGUGAUCUGCCCCUUACUUUGGGAUAAGCCUGGGAAACUGGGUCUAAUACUGGAUAGGACCAUGCUGUAGGUGGUGUGGUGGAAAGAUUAGUUUCGGUAAGGGAUGAGCUCGCGGCCUAUCAGCUUGUUGGUGGGGUAAUGGCCUACCAAGGCGUCGACGAGUAGCCGGCCUGAGAGGGUGGACGGCCACUUUGGGACUGAGAUACGGCCCAGACUCCUACGGGAGGCAGCAGUGGGGAAUAUUGCACAAUGGGCGCAAGCCUGAUGCAGCGACGCCGCGUGGGGGAUGACGGCCUUCGGGUUGUAAACUCCUUUCAGCCAUGGCGAAGCCCUUGUGGUGACGGUAGUGGGAGAAGAAGCACCGGCUAACUACGUG
rnacentral:rRNA from 1 species